GGCACUUCUGGAAUUGAAGAAGUCAGAAGCUGAUGAAGUUUCAAAAGGCACGUUAUCCUUCAGCUUGUUUCUAGAAAUGAGGAUGAAGUGAGGAAACCAUCUCCAGCACUAGUUCCUAUCUAGGAUGGAUGGAGAGUGGGAGCCAAGAAAACCUUUCCUAUCUGUACCCACAGAGUUUGAAAUUAUCUGUUACUGAUUAUACCUCAUCUCACCCUGACUGGCACAAAGCCCAAUGACCUCUGAAAAGGAAACUAUCAGCCCAAGGAAGGACUGCCAGAGGAUUUUAUGUCUGAUGCUGAAGCCCGGGUUCCUGUGUGAGAGUAGAGCUUGGAUCAACGAUUCUUGAUCCUGACACAGCAACUUCAGAUUUU
rnacentral:lncRNA from 1 species